GGUCCAUUCGUCUAGGGGUUAGGACACCAGAUUUUCAUUCUGGUAACAGGGGUUCGAUUCCCCUAUGGACUA
rnacentral:tRNA from 2 species